UUGGAGGCACGCACACUGACGUAAGGACGCAUGCUUCAGCCUACGCAGAUAUGACGCGUCACACAUGCGACGAAAAUCAACACAUUUUUUCCCCCAUCACCACCAGCUAACGUUACUGCAAGGAACGUCUGAAGCAAAGGCAACUGGGUCCCUCGCAAUACACAUUCUACUGAGAGGUUUGGACCUCAAUCCAAAAUGACAGACACAAAGCGUCUUGCCAUCUCCAUCAUUCAGUUUCUUCAUGAUCAACUGGGCUCUGGGAGUCUAUCGUCAGAUGCUCAGGAAAGUUUAGAAGUUGCAGUCCAAUGCCUGGAGACUGCCUUUGAGGUCUCGACCGAUGACCAGACCCUAUCUGUCACUCAAACAUUACCAGAGAUUUUUGCCUCUGCGACACAGAAGCAUCCCGAAACCUCCCAGGUGAAAAUAAACACAGCCACAGAUUCCUCUACUGAGGAGGAAGUAGCAGAGGCAGAGAGACUCAAAACUGACGGCAAUGAUCAAAUGAAGGUUGAGAAAUUUGGGGCAGCUGUGGAAUUCUACUCAAAGGCUAUUGCCAUAAACCCCCGGAAUGCAGUCUACUACUGCAACAGGGCUGCUGCAUACAGCAAACUAGGCAACUACGCUGGAGCAGUUCAGGACUGUGAACUUGCCAUUGGGAUUGACCCAAACUACAGCAAAGCAUAUGGAAGAAUGGGGUUGGCUCUAGCCAGUUUAAACAAACACACAGAAGCUGUAGGUUAUUACAAGAAAGCCCUAGAGUUGGACCCAGAGAACGACACCUACAAAUCCAACCUGAAAAUAGCAGAGCAGAAAAUGGAGACUCCAAGCCCGACAGGAGGAAUGGGAGGAGUUGAUCUGGCUGGUUUGCUCAGUAACCCUGGUUUCAUGAACAUGGGCUGCUUUGUCCUAGGCGUCCGGUUUGAUGAACAACCCACAAGUACAGCAAAUGAUGUCGGGGAUGAUGUCAGGAGCUUAUGGGCCAAUGGGAGCUCCAGCAGUGCCUGGGUUAGGAGCAGGGUCAGGGUUAGGAGCCGGACCAGGGUUAGGAGCCGGACCAUUAGGAGCUGGACCAGGGUUAGGAGCCGGACCGGCAGCAGGAGUUGGAGUAGUGGGAGCUGGUCCAGGUGACAUUUCUGGUCUCAUCCAAGCGGGCCAACAAUUUGCGCAGCAAAUGCAACAGCAGAACCCAGAGCUAAUUGAACAGCUGAGGAGUCAAAUUCACAGCCGGACACCUAGUGGUAGCAACGAAGAACAACCUUGACCCUCAGACAGAGGAAGAUUUGUGUGGAGAAGUGAAGACAUGGAUUUUUUUUUUCUAUGUAUGAUUUGUAUUAUCUCCCAACUCUAUGGACAAAAAGCUUUUCAUCACUGAGUAAUUAUUGCAUGUGUGCUCCACCCCCCCUGUCUUUAAGGAAACUGAUCAGCAAAACCUUGCGGGAAUGAUGGAAUUUGAUAAACCUGUUAACAGAUAUCUAGUCCGAAGUGUCUGCAAUGUCACACCAGUGUAGCUCUUGGUUUAGCUGUUUAAUGUUACUAUUCCUUGCCAGUGAACUGUUGUCCGAACUGAACACCCCCCCCCCCCCCCCCCCCCGUGAACUACAUGCAGCUGCAUCACUUGAGCUUUAUCAUUUCAGGUACACAGAAACACCUUGAGAUUAUUAUGCGAUGAUACAGUUUAGCAGUCAUAUAAAUUUGAGAAGCAUCUAUUUGUACAAAGAAAUACUGGUUGGCAGGGAUGGUAUCUAGAGUACUGGCAAUAUUAUGGGAAUUUCAAAUUAGCAUAUCAAAUAGGACCUAUUGGUGUCCUCCGUAAUCCAGGAGUUGUUUAAGCAUGAUACACUGUUUUUGUUAUUUUAUAAUGCGAAUGUCAGUGUUACACUGUUUGGGUUUUUUUCUAACGUGGGUGGCUGUCUGUUUUUGUUCACAAUCUUUGAUUAAAUCAUACUAAUAAAUUACCCUAACAUGU